rnacentral:lncRNA from 1 species
GGGACUUGAGAUUGAAAGGAUAUAGCGAUGCUGAUUGGGGUGGUGAUAGCGAUGAGCGCAGGUCCACUUUAGGCUAUGUGUUUAUGCUUGGAAGCGGAGUAUGUUGCUUGUUCAGCAGCCAUCUAGGAGACUGUUUGGCUGAGAAGAUUUCUCCAACACCUCGACUUUGUGAUUCGAGCUGAUGAACCUGUUGAGAUAUUCUCUUGAAAGUUUUGAGGAGCCCGAUGAUCUAUCUAGAUUGUAUCUAUCACCUAGAGGGGGGUGAAUAGGUGUAACGGCUAAAAACCACAAAUCUCGAUGCAAUAAAAAUAAAUGCGGAAAAUAAAAAGCACACCGAGAUUUACAUGGGAAAACUCCAAUUUGGAGAAAAAUCCACGGGACCAACACGCGAAAAAAUAAUUCACUAAGAGAAAAGAUUACAAGGUGAUUACUGACUCCACGGACUCAACCUCUCUUAACCUCCUAUGAAUCUUCGCGCUACCCUCCGGGUUGUCCACGCCCUCACGUCACCACGAACGCCUCCACUUCGGAAUCCACGAACGCCUCCACUUCGAAUCCACGAAGCUUCAAUCACGCCGAAUCCACGACGCCACUUGAAUCCACGUGCCCACGAUCCGAAUCCACGAACCGCCGUCAAAUACGCCGAAUCCACGACGCCACCAU